GGGCCCGUAGCUUAGUUGGUUAAAGCACAGUGCUUAUAACGCUGGGAUCGAUGGUUCGAAUCCAUCCGGGCCUA
rfam:Candidatus Magasanikbacteria bacterium RIFCSPHIGHO2_01_FTLL_50_8 rifcsphigho2_01_scaffold_21405, whole genome shotgun sequence.